rnacentral:rRNA from 1 species
GAUGAACGCUAGCGGCAGGCCUAACACAUGCAAGUCGAACGGCAACAGGGAUUGCUUGCAAUCCGCUGACGAGUGGCGCACGGGUGCGUAACGCGUAUAGAACCUACCCUUUACAGGGGGAUAGCCCGGAGAAAUUCGGAUUAAUACCCCAUAGAACUAUUUAAUGGCAUCAUUUUAUAGUUAAAGUUUCGGCGGUAAAGGAUGGCUAUGCGUCUUAUUAGUUAGUAGGUGAGGUAACGGCUCACCUAGACAGCGAUAAGUAGGGGCCCUGAGAGGGGGAUCCCCCACACUGGUACUGAGACACGGACCAGACUCCUACGGGAGGCAGCAGUGAGGAAUAUUGGACAAUGGUCGAGAGACUGAUCCAGCCAUGCCGCGUGCAGGAAGACGGCCCUACGGGUUGUAAACUGCUUUUUUACGGGAAGAAUAAUACCCACGUGUGGGUAGAUGACGGUACCGUAGGAAUAAGGACCGGCUAACUCCGUGCCAGCAGCCGCGGUAAUACGGAGGGUCCGAGCGUUAUCCGGAAUUAUUGGGUUUAAAGGGUCCGCAGGCGGGCCAGUAAGUCAGGGGUGAAAGUUUGCGGCUUAACCGUAAAAUUGCCUUUGAUACUGCUGGUCUUGAGUUGCGGUGAAGUGGCCGGAAUAUGUGGUGUAGCGGUGAAAUGCAUAGAUAUCACAUAGAACACCGAUUGCGAAGGCAGGUCACUAACCGCCGACUGACGCUGAUGGACGAAAGCGUGGGGAGCGAACGGGAUUAGAUACCCCGGUAGUCCACGCCGUAAACGAUGGACACUAGCUGUCGGANCGCUUUAGGUUCGGUGGCCAAGCGAAAGUGAUAAGUGUCCCACCUGGGGAGUACGUCGGCAACGAUGAAACUCAAAGGAAUUGACGGGGGCCCGCACAAGCGGUGGAGCAUGUGG